rnacentral:lncRNA from 1 species
UGUAAUAUUUCUAGAGGAAAUAUUAAUUUGGUAGUGUCCGAGGACGUAAGCUAAAUUGGCCGAACCUCGUUAAAACUCUGGUAUUUUAUUUCUUAUUUGUUUGCUUAUAUUUAAUAGCUUUAUGUUGGUUAUAUUUAUUUAGUUAUUAUUGCUAUAAAUAUCUAAGUGAGUUCUGUCUAGUUGUUGGGUUUUAAGCGGGACCAUUUGUGACCCCUCCAAUUUAACUGGGAAUUUUCUUAGUAUAAUUGUUGGCAUAAUAAUUAUCUAAAUAUUUCUGAUAAUAUUGUUAUUAAUAUUAUCGUCACUUCCGCAACAAUUGGUAUCCGAGCCAAGGUUUUGUAGUAUGCUCUGUGUUUGCAGCUUAGUCUGAUCUUACACAUCAGAAACAUUUCCGAAAGCUUGUGGGUAUUCAGCAUUUGGUGGCUAUUAAAUAGAAGCUAUGGCAAAAAUGACAGAAGAAA